GUCGAUACAUUGGAAGGAAGGGAGGCCAUCCAGAGGGACCUGGACAGGCUGGAGAAGUGGGCCCAUGAGAACAUAAUGAGGUUCAAUAAGGCCAAGUGCAGGGUGCUGUGCUUGGAUCGAGGCAAUCCCAGGUAUUUAUACAAACUGGGGGAAGAUCUCCUUGAGAGCAGCCCUGCGGAGAAGGACUUGGGAGUCCUGGUAGAUGAGAAGUUGGACAUGAGCCAGCAGUGUGCGCUUGCAGUCCGGAAGGCCAACUGUGUUCUGGGCUGCAUUAAGAAAGGGGUGGCCAUCAGAGAGAGGGAGGUGGUUGUGCCCCUCUGCUCAGCUCUUGUGAGGCCCCAUCUGGAGUACUGCGUCCAGCCCUGGGGCCCCCAGCACAAGAAAGGCAUAGAUCUCUUGGAGCAGGUCCAGAGGAAGGCCACUAAGAUGAUUAGAGGGCUGGAUCACCUCUCCUGUGAGGAAAGGUUGAGGGAACUGGGCUUGUUUAGCUUGGAGAAGAGAAGGCUCUGGGGAGACCUCAUUGUGGCCUUCCAGUACUUUAAGGGAGUAUAUAAACAGGAGGGGGAACAGCUGUUUACAAGGGUGAAUAGUGAUAGGACAAGGGGGAAUGGUUUUAAACGGAGACAGGGGAGGUUUAGGUUAGAUAUUAGGAGGAAGUUUUUCACUCAGAGGGUGGUGACGCACUGGAACAGGUUGCCCAAGGAGGUUGUGGAUGCCCCAUCCCUGGAGGCAUUCAAGGCCAGGCUGGAUGUGGCUCUGGGCAGCCUGGUCUGCUGGUUGGCAACCCUGCCCAUAGCAGGGGGUGUUAAAACUAGGUGAUCAUUGUGGUCCUUUUCAACCCAGGCUAUUCUAUGAUUCUAUAAUAUAUAUUAUACCUACACAUCCAGGCAGAUAAAUGCACUGCAGUUGUAAGCUCUGUAUCUAUACACUUUCACAGUACAGAGAGCAUUUCUUAAAACAUCUAUGGCUAAUGUGUCAUUUCCACACAGCCAUGUUUGAUGUUGGUGACUAACGCUAGGCUGUGUGCCUCACCACAGGUGAACACACAGUGUACAUACUGCUCUGGAGGUGGAAACAUCACGUAUGUAUGUGAGAGCUGUGUUAUUGCAGCUGAACUUCACUGUGUGCCGUGCUUAAAGAUUGUUCUCUUCCUGGGACACCAUCCACUACCACACAGUUGGCAGGACAGGGAUGUCACUUUCCUGCCAGAUGCUCACCUUAACCAGGAACACGGCAUCCAUGUUCCACCAAGAACA
ensembl:lncRNA